rnacentral:lncRNA from 1 species
CACAUUCUUUCUUUUUUUUUCCAUUUCUUUAUUACCCAUACUCCUUAUUUUAUUUUUCCUAACAUACCUCACUAACAUAACAUGUUUGUGACAUGUUUCCACUCAUAGCAUGGCCGGCCACUACUAAUUAGGGGGGAAAUUUGACAUGCAAGUCCUCCAUUUUUAUUACAUGCACUAUUAGAUCCUUAUAGAUUAGCCUAUCACAUUUCAAAAGUGUCACACAAAUCCUACUAACUGAAUUCACAUGCAAACUAAAUCGAAGCUUGAAAUUUU